rnacentral:lncRNA from 1 species
UUUUUUUUUCGUCAAAUCAAUUAUAUUGAUAUCAAAAAGUGUUUACAAAAUACAGAAACAUUCCAAUACAACCGUUGUAUGCAAAUAUAGGAAAUUGAAACAAUUUCGAUGAAGGAGUGGAAGUGACCCGGCUAGCUUUUGUUAGACUUUUAGGAAACAGAUGUAAUCUGUUAAGUCCCCCCCUUCACACAUUUUUUGUUGGCUAUCAGCUGCUGCUGAAACUCCAAAAUGCCUUUGGCAUUACUUUAAUUAGGAAAUGUUGAUUUAAUGUUGUUGGAGAUGAUUCUAAAUCUUGUCGCCUUCUUGAAAUCGAUAUACUUGAUGAUUCCGGCAAUGAAUUUCUAUGUUCCUUAGCAAGUCUCCAUUGUCUUCUCACGAAUUGAUGUUGCCAUAAUAAAUCGAUCCAAUGCCACCAUAAAAUAUUUGGAAGUAUUUUCAACAUAGUAAAACCAUGGUACAUCAGCGAAAGUCUAUAAGUCUCAUUAGAGUAAAUAAUGUUAAUGUAUUUGAUAAUGAGACUAACUACGUUUUCUUGAACAAGGAGAAUAAACCAAUCGCAUGAACCACCAUGUGCAUGUCUCGGUUUAUACAAUCGACCAAACGAAUAAAUAAGAUU